CUCCACCAGUAGAACUCAAGACCUCAAACAUGAUAAUAAGAGUUCUGUGCGUUUUCGUGUUAUCAGUGACAUGGUGUACCGCUCUAAAUUUGCCUUCCUCGUUCAAAAAAUGUGAUCUACGAGCUAGCGAUUUUGACCAGUGUUUGUCGAAUGCUAUUCAAGACGCAAUUCAGCACCUGAAGGAGCCACUGCUUGAGUAUGGUUUACCCCAAUUGGAGCCUUUUCAGACACCGAAAGAGGUGAUUCUCGAAUACGGAAACGAAACAACUGGAAUUCGACAAAAAUACUCCAAUUUAAAAAUUACCGGAUUCACAAAAAUCGAAAAAACGAGCGCCAGAUUUAGCUUGGAACGUAAGAGUUUAAAUGUAAAUAUUACUUUCACAAAUAUUUUAUACGAAUCCGACUAUGGAGCGCGUGGCCGAUUUAUUUAUUUGCCGAUUGAUGUAUCGACGACAACGGCGAUCAAUCUUAAAAGACCCACACUCCGGAUUGUGUUUAAUUUGGAGGAAUAUGAGAAAGAAAACUUGAAAUAUUUUAAAGCGAGGGGUGGUAGUUUUCGUAUGAAAAUGAAGAACGCUACGUUCGAUUUUAAAAAUAUUUUUAAAAAGGGAUGUUUGAAUAAGGAACUUAAUGACAUGAUGAAUGAAAAGUAGGAGAACAUUUUAGAUUAUUUUCAGGAGACGUUUCCAGAAUUGUGGAUUUCUGUAUUCGAGUGGAUGUUUAACAAUUUGUUGGAAAAAGUCCCUGUUUCUGAGUUAUUCGAUGGAUUGUGAGAAUGAUCAAAAAUGCACUCGUACUGAUAAAUUUGUGCUUGUAAACGUAUCUAGGUGUAUCAUGGUUUAAUAAAAUUCCAAUAGCAGGU